GAAGAGAAACUCCCAUCAGAUCAUCUUCAACAUGUCCUCUGUAGCUCUGCUGCUGCUGCUGCUGGCUGCUGCAUCUUGUGUGAAGUGUCAGCAGCUGACCCAGCCAGCCUCUGUGACUGUGCAACCAGGUCAAGGUCUGACCAUCAGCUGUCAGGUCUCUUAUUCUGUAAGCAGCUACUAUACAGCUUGGAUCAGACAACCUGCUGGGAAAGGACUGGAGUGGAUUGGGAUGGAACGCAUUGGAUGGAGAGAAUACUACAAGGAUUCACUGAAGAACAAGUUCAGCAUCAGUUUGGAUGGCUCCAGUAACACAGUGACUCUGAAUGGACAGAAUAUGCAGCCAGAUGAUUCUGCUGUGUAUUACUGUGCCAGAGAGUCACAGUGA